GACGUAGGGUGCAAGCGUUGUCCGGAUUUAUGCUGGGCGUAAAGAGCGCGUAGGCGGCUCGUUAAAGUGUGAAGUGAAAUCUCCAGGGCUCAACCCGGGAAAACCGCUUCGCAUACUGGGACGAGCGUUGAGGAAUGCAGAGGUUAGUGGAAUCCUGGUGUAGCGGUGAAAUGCCGUUGAUAGUCGAGGAGAACGACCCAUGGCGAAGGCAGCUGAACUGGGCAAUUGUCGUGA
rnacentral:rRNA from 1 species